rnacentral:rRNA from 1 species
GAUGAACGCUGGCGGCGUGCCUAAUACAUGCAAGUCGAGCGAACGGACGAGAAGCUUGCUUCUCUGAUGUUAGCGGCGGACGGGUGAGUAACACGUGGAUAACCUACCUAUAAGACUGGGAUAACUUCGGGAAACCGGAGCUAAUACCGGAUAAUAUUUUGAACCGCAUGGUUCAAAAGUGAAAGACGGUCUUGCUGUCACUUAUAGAUGGAUCCGCGCUGCAUUAGCUAGUUGGUAAGGUAACGGCUUACCAAGGCAACGAUGCAUAGCCGACCUGAGAGGGUGGUCGGCCACACUGGAACUGAGACACGGUCCAGACUCCUACGGGAGGCAGCAGUAGGGAAUCUUCCGCAAUGGGCGAAAGCCUGACGGAGCAACGCCGCGUGAGUGAUGAAGGUCUUCGGAUCGUAAAACUCUGUUAUUAGGGAAGAACAUAUGUGUAAGUAACUGUGCACAUCUUGACGGUACCUAAUCAGAAAGCCACGGCUAACUACGUGCCAGCAGCCGCGGUAAUACGUAGGUGGCAAGCGUUAUCCGGAAUUAUUGGGUGUAAAGCGCGCGUAGGCGGUUUUUUAAGUCUGAUGUGAAAGCCCACGGCUCAACCGUGGAGGGUCAUUGGAAACUGGAAAACUUGAGUGCAGAAGAGGAAAGUGGAAUUCCAUGUGUAGCGGUGAAAUGCGCAGAGAUAUGGAGGAACACCAGUGGCGAAGGCGACUUUCUGGUCUGUAACUGACGCUGAUGUGCGAAAGCGUGGGGAUCAAACAGGAUUAGAUACCCUGGUAGUCCACGCCGUAAACGAUGAGUGCUAAGUGUUAGGGGGUUUCCGCCCCUUAGUGCUGCAGCUAACGCAUUAAGCACUCCGCCUGGGGAGUACGACCGCAAGGUUGAAACUCAAAGGAAUUGACGGGGACCCGCACAAGCGGUGGAGCAUGUGGUUUAAUUCGAAGCAACGCGAAGAACCUUACCAAAUCUUGACAUCCUUUGACAACUCUAGAGAUAGAGCUUUCCCCUUCGGGGGACAAAGUGACAGGUGGUGCAUGGUUGUCGUCAGCUCGUGUCGUGAGAUGUUGGGUUAAGUCCCGCAACGAGCGCAACCCUUAAGCUUAGUUGCCAUCAUUAAGUUGGGCACUCUAAGUUGACUGCCGGUGACAAACCGGAGGAAGGUGGGGAUGACGUCAAAUCAUCAUGCCCCUUAUGAUUUGGGCUACACACGUGCUACAAUGGACAAUACAAAGGGCAGCGAAACCGUGAGGUCAAGCAAAUCCCAUAAAGUUGUUCUCAGUUCGGAUUGUAGUCUGCAACUCGACUACAUGAAGCUGGAAUCGCUAGUAAUCGUAGAUCAGCAUGCUACGGUGAAUACGUUCCCGGGUCU